rnacentral:rRNA from 1 species
UCCUACGGGAGGCAGCAGUGGGGAAUAUUGCACAAUGGGGGAAACCCUGAUGCAGCAACGCCGCGUGAGCGACGAAGGCCUUCGGGUUGUAAAGCUCUGUCUUCGCUGACGAAUUAAUGACGGUAAGCGAGGAGGAAGCCACGGCUAACUACGUGCCAGCAGCCGCGGUAAUA